UCAACCUGAGAGUUUGAUCCUGGCUCAGAGCGAACGCUGGCGGCAGGCCUAACACAUGCAAGUCGAACGAAGUCUUCGGACUUAGUGGCGGACGGGUGAGUAACACGUGGGAACGUGCCUUUAGGUUCGGAAUAACUCAGGGAAACUUGUGCUAAUACCGAAUGUGCCCUUCGGGGGAAAGAUUUAUCGCCUUUAGAGCGGCCCGCGUCUGAUUAGCUAGUUGGUGAGGUAAAGGCUCACCAAGGCGACGAUCAGUAGCUGGUCUGAGAGGAUGAUCAGCCACAUUGGGACUGAGACACGGCCCAAACUCCUACGGGAGGCAGCAGUGGGGAAU
rnacentral:rRNA from 1 species